GCCCUCAUCGUCUAGAGGCCCAGGACACCGCCCUUUCAAGGCGGCAGCACGGGUUCGAAUCCCGUUGGGGGCA
rnacentral:tRNA from 2 species